UCAUUCGGAUUCGCCAUCAUACGCCCAACCGUGCAUUUGAUAUGCAUAUAUAUGCAUCACGAGCCACGGUAGGGCUGUAUGAUGGCGAUACCGAUUGG
rfam:Triticum aestivum genome assembly, contig: Triticum_aestivum_CS42_TGACv1_scaffold_471301_6AL